GGGUAUAUAGCUCAGUGGUAGAGUGCAGGCUUAGCAUGCAGGAGGUCCUGGGUUCAAUCCCCAGUGCCUUCA
rnacentral:tRNA from 1 species